ACAAAGUGGGCGCCAUCUUGGUGAAGGAACUGCAGAUGCUGGACACAGGCCCAGUGCUCCCCUCCUCGUGUGAGCGCAGGGGAUGGAGAGGAUCGUUGUUGGUGAGCGGGCUGGGUCUCACCACACGCACUCUCAGAGAUGGCCUGGGGACCUGAGGUCGGCUGCAGGAGGGGCCCCGGGGCCUGGAGGCUGAGCAGUGGCCGCAAGAGGUGAGGGGAAGAUAGGUUUGCAGGUCGACGUGUCCAGGUCAAGGAGUCGGGGGUAAGUGGCCUGGGGCUCGAUUAGAUCACGCGCCACCCCAAGAGGCCAAGAUUAGACUCAACACUAUUAAAGAUCUUUGAACUUGGCAAUGGCACCAGAAACGUGGCAACUCUUGUCAACAGACUCAGUGGAAUCAACUUGUCUAAAGCAGGGUCCCGACUCGAAACAUCACCUAUCCAUGUUCUCCAGAGAUGAUGCCUGGCCUGUUGAAUCCCUCCAGCACUUUGUGCCUUUUUUAAAAAUAAACAAGCAUCUGCAGUUCCUUGUUAG